GACGAACGCUGGCGGCGUGCCUAAUACAUGCAAGUCGAGCGGAUUGAUGGGAGCUUGCUCCCUGAUAUCAGCGGCGGACGGGUGAGUAACACGUGGGCAACCUGCCUAUAAGACUGGGAUAACUUCGGGAGACCGGAGCUAAUACCGGAUAAUCCCUUUCCUCUCAUGAGGAAAGGCUGAAAGAUGGUUUACGCUAUCACUUAUAGAUGGGCCCGCGGCGCAUUAGCUAGUUGGUGAGGUAACGGCUCACCAAGGCAACGAUGCGUAGCCGACCUGAGAGGGUGAUCGGCCACACUGGGACUGAGACACGGCCCAGACUCCUACGGGAGGCAGCAGUAGGGAAUCUUCCGCAAUGGACGAAAUUCUGACGGAGCAACGCCGCGUGAGUGAUGAAGGUUUUCGGAUCGUAAAACUCUGUUGUUAGGGAAGAACAAGUACGAGAGUAACUGCUCGUACCUUGACGGUACCUAACCAGAAAGCCACGGCUAACUACGUGCCAGCCGCCGCAGUAA
rnacentral:rRNA from 1 species